GGUCGCUUAACUCAGUUGGUUAGAGUGCCGUACUAAUAAUGCGGACGUCGCCAGUUCGAUCCUGGUAGUGACCA